ensembl:lncRNA
GGGGGUUAUUUAGUAGUGUGGCUUGGAGUCUACAGGGUUAUUUGUUGUAGUGGCUUGGAGUCUACAGGGUUAUUUAGUAGUAGUGGCUUGGAGUCUACAGGGUUAUUUAGUUGUAGUGGCUUGGGAUCUACGGGGUUAUUUAGUUGUAGUGGCUUGGAGUCUACAGGGUUAUUUAGUGUAGUUUGCUUGGAGUCUACAGGUUAUUUAGUUGUGUUGCUUGGUCUACCGGGUUAUUUAGUUGUAAUGGCUUGGAGUCUAGGGGGGUUAUUUAGUUGUAGUGGCUUGGAGUCUAGGGGGUUAUUUAGUUGUAGUGGCUUGGAGUCUAGGGGUGGUUUAGUAGUAGUAGUGCUUGGGUCUAGGGGUUAUUUAGUUGUAGUGGCUUGGAGUCUAGGGGGUUAUUUAGUUGUAGUGGCUUGGAGUCUAGGGGUUAUUUUUUGUUGUGCUUGGAGUCUAGGGGGGUGAUUUAGUAGUAGUGGCUUGGAGUCUAGGGGUGUGUUUAGUAGUAGUGGCUUGGAGUCUAGGGGGGUUAUUAGUAGUAGUGGCUUGGAGUUAGGGGGGUUAUUUAGUUGUGUGGCUUGGAGUCUACAGGGUUAUUUAGUUGUAGUGGCUUGGAUUCUACCGGGUUAUUUAGUUGUAGUGGUUGGAGUCUAGGGGGUGGUUUUAGUAGUAGUAGUGGCUUGGAGUCAAGGGGGUGGUUUAGUAGUUAGUAGUGGUUGGAGUCUGGGGGUUAUUUGUUGUAGUGGCUUGGAGUCUGGGGGUGAUUUGUGUAGUAGUGCUUGGGCUAGGGGGUGAUGAUUAUAGUAGUGGCUUGGGGGGGUAUUAGUAUUAGUUGCUUGGGGGUUAUUUAGUAGUAGUGCUUGGAGGCUAGGGGGUGUGAUUAUUAUAAAUAACCCUGUAGACUCCAAGCCACUACUACUAAAUAACCCUGUAGACUCCAAGCCACUACUACUAAAUAACCCUGUAGACUCCAAGCCACUACUACUAAAUAACCCCCCAUAGCCUCCUGAAUUGCUUACAGAAAAUUCAGAGAUCAUAAUGGUGACAGUAUUGAGCAUUAAAUAAAUACUACUAUCCCACAAACACUUCCUCAUGAAAACUAUAUAUCAUCUAGCCUUGUUCUGGUCCUCUGUGGACUUCCACGACAUCUCGGCCACUGAACCCUUCAUCCACACCACAUAAACAUCACUCAUUGACUUGAGGUUUUAGUUGAGUUGUAGUAGGUAAGACAGCCACAAGGGGGUGCUAUAGUACAAAGUAAGUGCUGGAGAGGGGGGAGGGGUGGUGGGAAUGGUUUCAGGACACUGAGGCAGAUUAUGCAGGUUGGCACAGCAAUGCACAGCUUAGCUGCACAGCAAUUUGAGGCUGUUGCAGAGUGCAGACACAGUAGUAACGUGAGACAGGAAGUACAGUCAAGAUAUCCAAAUCCAGGUUAGCUCACACAACCUCACCAGGCUGGUCCCAGAUCUGUUGUCUCCUUCUAUAGACUGGUCCCAGAUCUGUGGUCUCCUUCUAUAGCCUGGUCCCAGAUCUGUGGUCUCGUUCUAUAGCCCUAGAGUCAGAUGAAAGCAUGGAUACCAUUGCUGUGUCUCUGUUUGCAGUUUGAAUGAAGUUGCAAACCUAGCAGCAAACGAAACUACCUUAAAACCUCCUUCAAACUCCAUGUACAGAUACUGGACACGGAGACAUACACAUGGUCUCCACGUGUUCAUCUGAAUCUCGGGAAGUAGAUCAAGUCUUUCACUAAAAUAGUGAUGAGUUACAACCUGUAUUGGUGGCAAACAGAGAGUACAGCCACCUCAUCAUCUCUCUACAGUCCAGUGGUGUGAAUGAGAGUACAGCCACCUCAUCAUCUCUCUAUAGUCCAGUGGUGCGAAUGAGACUACAGCCACCUCAUCACCUCUCUACAGUCCAGUGGUGUGAAUGAGACUACAGCCACCUCAUCAUCUCUCUACAGCCCAGAGGUGUGACUGAGACUACAGCCACCUCAUCACCCCCAUACAGCCCAGUGGUGUGAAUGAGACUACAGCCACCUCAUCAUCUCUCUACAGUCCAGUGGUGUGAAUGAGACUACAGCCACCUCAUCAUCUCUCUAUAGUCCAGUGGUGUGAAUGAGACUACAGCCACCUCAUCACCUCUCUACAUUCCAGUGGUGUGAAUGAGACUACAACCACCUCAUCUCCUCCAUACAGCCCAAGGGUGUGAAUGAGAGCCAGGAGACUACAGCCAAAUUAGUGCAUUCAGCGAUUUCAGCCACACUCGUUGCUGACAGGCGUAUAAAAUUGAGCACACCGCCAUGCAAUCUCCAUAGACAAACAUUGGCAGGAGAUUGGCCCGUAUUAUAGAGCUCGUUGACUUUCAACGUGGAACCGUCAUAGAAUACCACCUUUCCAACAAGUCAGAUCGUCAAAUUUCUGCCCUGCUAGAGCUGCCCCGGUCAACUGUAAAUGUAAACGUCUUCGGAGCAACAACAGCUCAGCAGCGAAGAGGUAGGCCACACAAGGUCACAGAACGGGACCACCGAGUGCUGAAGUGCAUAAAAUUGUCUGUCCUCGGUUGCAACAUUCAACAUGCGCCCCCGAGUGUCGCAUCUCAGUACUAGACGCGUCACUACAGACCAUUGUUUGAUUCCAGGCUGUAUCACAACAGGCCGUUGUGAUUCACCACGAGAACAAUUUGUCUGGGAGCUUCAUGAAAUGGGUUUCCAUGGCUGAGCAGCCGCACACAAGCCUAAGACCAUGUGCAAUGUCAAGCGUCACCUGGAGUGGUGUAAAGCUUGCCGCCAUUGGACUCUGGAGCAGUGGAAACGCGUUCUCUGUGGUGAUGAAUCACGCUUCACCAUCUGGCAGUCCGACGGACGUAUCUGGGAUUGACGGAUUCCAGGAGAAUGCUUUCUGCCCGAAUGCAUAGUGCCAACUGUAAAGUUUGGUGGAGGAGGAUAAUGGUCUGGGGCUGUUUGUCAUGGUUUAGGCCCCUUAGUUCCAGUGAAGGGACAUUUUAAUGCUACAGCAUACAAGGACAUUCUGUGCCAACAGUUUGAAGAAGGCCCUUUCCUGUUUCAGCAUGACAAUGCCCCUGUGCACAAAUCGUGGUCCAUACAGAAAUGUUUUGUCGAGAUCAAUGUGGAAGAACUUGACUGACCUACAGAGCCCUGACCUCAACCCCAUCGAACACCUUUGGGAUGAAUUGGAACGCCAACUAUGAGCCAGGCCUAAUCGCCGAGCAUCAGUGCCUGACA